rnacentral:rRNA from 1 species
AGUUAGUAUUAACAGGUGGGGAGGGAAUGACUAGGAUGCCAUAAGAAAAAAUAAGAACGCGAUUUAUGCGAAAUUUUGGCGGAAAAUAGAUGAAGCCGAGCGGGUAUUUUACCUUGGGUAAACCUGUGUUGUUGUGUUGUUCUUAAUAGUCUAAGAAUUGAAACAUCUAAGUAUUAGAAUAAUAAAUCAAGCGAGAUCCUGUAAGUAGCGGCGAGCGAACAUGGGUUAUAGUCCCGAGGCUGAAUAUACCAAGAGGGUACCAGUCCCGUAGGCCACCGGGCAAAAUUUGAAGGACCUAUGAGUAGAAUUUUUCGAAGAGAGGUGUACCAUACAUCUAAGUCUUUAUAAUAUGGCAUACCGAUAGCUGACAAGUACUGUGAAGGAAAGUUGAAAGAGAUAGAAGUGAAAUAGAGCCUAAAACUCCCCGCCUACAAGCAGACGAAAUCGUCGUACCUUUUGUAUAAUGGGUUCGCAAGUUAAAAAUUUAGCAAACUUAAGUUAAUAAACGAAAGUAUAGUGAAGACGAGUUUUAAAAGGGAAAAGAAACCUAAAAAUUUUUAAAAUUUUGAAGUUGGUAUUGUUUUCCGACGAGCUAUAGUUAAAUUUCCCCGAAACCAAGUGAUCUAACCGUGGUCAGCCUGAAACUGGGGGAGACCCCCGUGAAGGGGCGCACCGGUGAUUGUAGCAAAAAUCUCGGAAGAACUGCGGUUAGGGGUGAUAUGCUAAUCGAACUUGGCAAUAGCUGGUUUUCUGCGAAAACUAUUGAAGUAGUGCGUCCUAAUUUGUUUUAUUCUUAUGGGGUAAAGCUAUAAAUGGGUUUAUCUAUAAGGUAGAUCUAAUUAAACUAUGAAUACAUAAGAAGAAAUUGUGAUAGACAGACUGUGGGCGAGAAGGUCCAUUAGUCGAAAAGGGAACAACCGAGAUCAGAAGUUAAGGUCAUGAAGGACGCUCUAAGUGUAAAAGGGGGUUAAUCCAAUGAAGACAAUGAGGAAGUAGGCUUGGAGCCAGCCAUCUUUUGAAGGACUACGUAACAGUUCACUCAGUCAAUUAUUAACCCCUUAAAAUUUUGGUGGCUAAGGGUUCAUAACCGACACUCUGAAAAUUACCUCUUUGUUGGGGGAUUUAGUAGCAGAACGUUUUGUGGAGGAUUAUAUACAAAUAGCGAAAGCAAAUCAAAAGUGACACUGCGAACAUGAGUAAAAAACAAUGUGAAAAUCAUUGCUCACGGGCUCGAGGUUUCCAACAAUAGGAUUGUCCGAGUUGGGUUAUACAGCCCCUAAGAGAAUACAGCUGCAACGAAUCCCAACUCCAGUUUUACUUCUGGCUGGGUCUUGUUGUAUAUUUUACUUUGAUGGGCUAUUAGAAUAAGCACUUAAGUGUGUUAAAGAAAUUGUUUUCAAUCUUUUCAAUCCAAGUCCUUACAGGGCUGAGGCUGUAUUUAAACUAACACGAGUGAGCUAAAAAGUGAUGGGAUAAUUUAUCUUAAGGAACUCGGCAAAAUCUCCCUGUAAGUUCUCAAGAAGGGGAGCCCUGUUAAAUACAGACGGGGGCCUUUGGGGGAUUUAACGCUACGGCGGCUUACGUGGUUUAAAUUUCAAAAUUGGCCUUCUUUGUUUUAGGGCCGCAGAUACUAGAGGGUGUCGACUGUUUACUAAAAACAUAGCUAUCAGGGGUUAAAGGGCCAAAGGCCUGAAUGAUUGGUAGUGAGGCCUGCCCAAUGGUUGUAUCUAAAACCUGGUGAUAAGAUAAGUUGCGAGGGUAAAGACAAUUAAAUGGCCGCGGUAAAUCUGACCGUGAUAAUGUAGCGCAAUCAAUAGCCAAUUAAUUGUUGGCAAGUAUGAAUGGUGUAACGAAUGCCCUACUGUCUCAAGAUAAAACCCAAUGAAAUUGAAUUCGUAGUGAAGAUGCUACGUACAAAUUGUAAGACGAGAAGACCCCAUUGAGCUUUACUGGAUUCUUAAAUUGAGCUUUUAAAAUUAUUGUGUAGAUUAUGCGGGUAGAUAUCUUAAAUGAAAAACCGCUCUAUAAUUAACUUUAAGCUAUGAACAUUCGAUGGUGGAAAAGUUUAAGAAAGACAGUUUGGUUGGGGCGACCUCCUUCUAAAAAGUAACGAAGGUGUGCAUAAGGUUAUAAUUAAUAGAAAAAAAGCUUGACAGCAAGGGAGACCCCCGAGCUGACACUGGGGGGCCCUCCCUCAGUGGGUUAUAUGACCCGUUAGUGUAGAGUGGUGUUGCUAACGAGCAAUGAAUAAAAGUUACCAUGGGGAUAACAGCGUAAUAUCGUUUGAGAGUCCAUAUCGACGACGAUGUUUGCGACCUCGAUGUUGAAUUGCAGUAUCCUGGGGGUGCAGCCGCUCCCAAGGGUUGGACUGUUCGUCCAUUAAAACUGUCCAUGAUUUGAGUUUAGACCGGCGCGAGCCAGGUCGGUUUCUAUCUACAAUUUGAAGAGGAAACAAGAGAUAUAACUAGUUUCCAGUACGAAAGGACCGAAUAACUAGGUAUCCGCUGGUGUCCCAAUUUUGCAAUAAUGUUGGGUCGCUACGAUAUGUGUGAAUAAUCCCUGAGGGCGUCUAAAGGGAGAAGUCAGUUAUCCAAAUUUUUGCUUCCAAGGGCACGUUUAAGACUAGAACGCGGAUAGGACUUAAGUAUAGCUAGAGUUACUAAAUGCUUAAAACUAACUUU